rnacentral:tRNA from 1 species
UGGUAUUUAGUUUAAACUAAAAUAAGUGAUUUCGACUCACUAGACUGUGAUCCAAACUCAUAAAUACCAA